rnacentral:rRNA from 1 species
CCUACGGGCGGCAGCAGUGAGGAAUAUUGGUCAAUGGGCGUAAGCCUGAACCAGCCAAGUCGCGUGAGGGAUGAAGGUUCUAUGGAUCGUAAACCUCUUUUAUAAGGGAAUAAAGUGUGGGACGUGUCCUGUUUUGUAUGUACCUUAUGAAUAAGGAUCGGCUAACUCCGUGCCAGCAGCCGCGGUAAUACGGAGGAUCCGAGCGUUAUCCGGGUUUAUUGGGUUUAAAGGGUGCGUAGGCGGCCUUUUAAGUCAGCGGUGAAAGUCUGUGGCUCAACCAUAGAAUUGCCGUUGAAACUGGGAGGCUUGAGGAUGUUGGAGGCAGGCGGAAUGCGUGUUGUAGCGGUGAAAUGCAUAGAUAGCACGCAGAACCCCGAUUGCGAAGGCAGCCUGCCAAGCCAUGACUGACGCUGAUGCACGAAAGCGUGGGGAUCAAACAGGAUUAGAUACCCCUGUAGUC